rfam:Aedes aegypti strain Liverpool supercont1.3854 genomic scaffold, whole genome shotgun sequence.
UGCCCAGCAACUCCUAUCCCUACCUCCUUGCGGUACUGACCGGGGUACGAGUAACCUUAGGGAAGA